GAUGAACGCUGGCGGCGUGCCUAAUACAUGCAAGUCGAGCGAACAGACGAGGAGCUUGCUCCUCUGACGUUAGCGGCGGACGUGUGAGUAACACGUGGAUAACCUACCUAUAAGACUGGGAUAACUUCGGGAAACCGGAGCUAAUACCGUAUAAUAUAUUGAACCGCAUGGUUCAAUAGUGAAAGACGGUUUUGCUGUCACUUAUAGAUGGAUCCGCGCCGCAUUAGCUAGUUGGUAAGGUAACGGCUUACCAAGGCAACGAUGCGUAGCCGACCUGAGAGGGUGAUCGGCCACACUGGAACUGAGACACGGUCCAGACUACUACGGGAGGCAGCAGUAGGGAAUCUUCCGCAAUGGGCGAAAGCUUGACGGAGCAACGCCGCGUGAGUGAUGAAGGUCUUCGGAUCGUAAAACUCUGUUAUUAGGGAAGAACAAAUGUGUAAGUAACUAUGCACGUCUUGACGGUACCUAAUCAGAAAGCCACGGCUAACUACGUG
rnacentral:rRNA from 1 species